AUGAACGCUGGCGGCGUGCCUAAUACAUGCCAGUCGAGCGAACGGACGAGAAGCUUGCUUCUCUGAUGUUAGCGGCGGACGGGUGAGUAACACGUGGAUAACCUACCUAUAAGACUGGGAUAACUUCGGGAAACCGGAGCUAAUACCGGAUAAUAUUUUGAACCGCAUGGUUCAAAAGUGAAAGACGGUCUUGCUGUCACUUAUAGAUGGAUCCGCGCUGCAUUAGCUAGUUGGUAAGGUAACGGCUUACCAAGGCAACGAUGCAUAGCCGACCUGAGAGGGGGAUCGGCCACAAUGGAACUGAGACACGGUCCAGACUCCUACGGGAGGCAGCAGUAGGGAAUCUUCCGCAAUGGGCGAAAGCCUGACGGAGCAACGCCGCGUGAGUGAUGAAGGUCUUCGGAUCGUAAAACUCUGUUAUUAGGGAAGAACAUAUGUGUAAGUAACUGUGCACAUCUUGACGGUACCUAAUCAGAAAGCCACGGCUAACUACGUG
rnacentral:rRNA from 1 species